rnacentral:rRNA from 1 species
AGCUUGCUCUUAUGAAGUUAGCGGCGGACGGGUGAGUAACACGUGGGUAACCUACCCAUAAGACUGGGAUAACUCCGGGAAACCGGGGCUAAUACCGGAUAAUAUUUUGAACUGCAUAGUUCGAAAUUGAAAGGCGGCUUCGGCUGUCACUUAUGGAUGGACCCGCGUCGCAUUAGCUAGUUGGUGAGGUAACGGCUCACCAAGGCAACGAUGCGUAGCCGACCUGAGAGGGUGAUCGGCCACACUGGGACUGAGACACGGCCCAGACUCCUACGGGAGGCAGCAGUAGGGAAUCUUCCGCAAUGGACGAAAGUCUGACGGAGCAACGCCGCGUGAGUGAUGAAGGCUUUCGGGUCGUAAAACUCUGUUGUUAGGGAAGAACAAGUGCUAGUUGAAUAAGCUGGCACCUUGACGGUACCUAACCAGAAAGCCACGGCUAACUACGUGCCAGCAGCCGCGGUAAUACGUAGGUGGCAAGCGUUAUCCGGAAUUAUUGGGCGUAAAGCGCGCGCAGGUGGUUUCUUAAGUCUGAUGUGAAAGCCCACGGCUCAACCGUGGAGGGUCAUUGGAAACUGGGAGACUUGAGUGC